rnacentral:rRNA from 1 species
CACCGGCGGCCCGAGUGGUGAUCGUGAUUAUUGGGUCUAAAGGGUCCGUAGCCGGUUUGGUCAGUCCUCCGGGAAAUCUGAUAGCUCAACUAUUAGGCUUUCGGGGGAUACUGCCAGACUUGGAACCGGGAGAGGUAAGAGGUACUACAGGGGUAGGAGUGAAAUCUUGUAAUCCCUGUGGGACCACCUGUGGCGAAGGCGUCUUACCAGAACGGGUUCGACGGUGAGGGACGAAAGCUGGGGGCACGAACCGGAUUAGAUACCCGGGUAGUCCCAGCCGUAAACGAUGCUCGCUAGGUGUCAGGCAUGGCGCGACCGUGUCUGGUGCCGCAGGGAAGCCGCGAAGCGAGCCACCUGGGAAGUACGGCCGCAAGGCUGAAACUUAAAGGAAUUGGGCGGGGAGCACAACAACGGGUGGAGCCUGCGGUUU